UUAUAAAUAAGUUUAGUCUGGAUUCUGGGUCCAGACCGUCCUCCGGCCCAGACAUGUGGUCCACUUCACAACCAGCCGUCAGACACAAUGACAGGAAAUGAAGGAGUUGUUACCGGAGCAGUCGGCCUGCCGGGCGAUGGUUCCCUCCGGGCAGCGGGUCAGACAUUUGCCUUUGUGCAGCUGGAAGCCCACUUUACACUUUGUGCAGAAGUCCCGGCUGAAGCAGUGCUCGCAGUCUGAGGAGCGGCACUCUGAGGGGAGAAACGGAUCACAUCAGCUCAACGAGCCAGGCUGGAAAUCUCAAACAACAUCGCUGCUUCUAAAGUACGACAGGCCUCAUCAGCCGGUUCUGACAAGACCGGUCCAGAAGUGAAAACUGGGCCGGAGCCAGGAGAGAGCUGAACUCUGCACAAACUGAAGCUUCGGCUCUGAUCCUGACGAGUUCUGCAGGAACUGGGUCGGGCUCGUACUCACCGCUCUGCUUCUGCAGGACGCCGGACCCCACCCGGACCACCUCACACAAAAAGGACAUCACAAACGCCAAGAGUCUCAGAUGCAUCUGGGCUGCUGGCAAGCGCCCGCUUCAGCGCCGGGCUGCGGACAUCUGCGGGGUCUCUCCAGCAGGGCCGGGGAUGAGGAUGGAGACGGGACGGUCUUCUCGAGCUCCAGAGAUGGUUUGGUUCUGAUGCGAGGAGACAGGAGCUCGUAGCGCCGAGCUGCUUCCUGACACUGGCAGAUUUCGGGGGGAAAGCUCAACGUUUAACUGUCAAAAUUGCGAUAAACGAGCUCCACUUAUCCCCUCGCCAUCUUUAACCCUUUCCAGGGCGAGUGCUCGGGGCCUUAAGUGGUUCCACAUUUCACCCUCCUCCUCCUCCUCCUCCUCCUCCUCCUCCUCCUGCUCCUCCUGCCUCUACCUAUUGUUUUUCACUCUCUUAGUCGUAGUUUUGCUGUUUGCACUUGGCAGCUUUGUUUGCUGUGAUCCCAUGAACUGUGAGCAGACAGUGGAGCUAAUUUGACCUCCAGGAAAGACGAGCAGCUGCAGAGGCCGGCCUUUAAUGGAAGCCUGUUGUGUUGCUCCAGCUGAUUUGUUGCGCUUUUUUUAGGUCAACAUUAAAGAAAAAAUCCUCCCGUUGGUUAAAGCUCUGUCAAACUUUAACAUUUUAAACAACUAAUAAACAUUUCUUUAUGAUUAAA